ensembl:misc_RNA Metazoa_SRP Metazoan signal recognition particle RNA
GCUUGAGCCCAGGAGGCAGAGACUGCAGUGAGCCAUGAUCAUGCUACUGCACUCCUGCCUGUGCUGUAGUGGGCUAUGCCUAGCUGGCGUCCACACUAAGUUCAGCAUCAGCAUGGUGACCUCUCGGGUGCAAGGGGACCACCAGGUUGCCUACGGAGGGGUGAACCGGCUCAGAUCGGAAAUGGAGCAGGUGAAAACUCCUGUGCUAAUCAGUAGUGGGAUCCUGCCUGUGAAUAGCCACUGUGCUCCAGGCUGGGUGACACAUCCAGAACUCAUCUU